CCAAUAGCGUAUAUUAAAGUUGUUGCAGUUAAAAAGCUCGUAGUUGAAUUUCGGGGUCAGUAGGUUGGUCAUGCCACCGGUAUGUACUGGUCUCACUGAUUCCUCCUUCCUGAUGAACUGUAAUGCCAUUAAUUUGGUGUUGCAGGGAAUCUGGACUGUUACUUUGAAAAAAUUAGAGUGUUUAAAGCAGGCUAACGCCUGAAUACAUUAGCAUGGAAUAAUGAAAUAGGACGUUCGAUCCUAUUUUGUUGGUUUCUAGGAUUGACGUAAUGAUUAAUAGGGAUAGUUGGGGGCAUUAGUAUUCAAUUGUCAGAGGUGAAAUUCUUGGAUUUAUUGAAGACUAACUACUGCGAAAGCAUUUGCCAAGGAUGUUUUCAUUAAUCAAGAACGAAAGUUAGGGGAUCGAAGACGAUCAGAUACCGUCGUAGUCUUAACCAUAAACUAUGCCGACUAGGGAUCGGAUGAUGUUAAUUUUUUAAUGACUCAUUCGGCGCCUUACG
rnacentral:rRNA from 1 species